AUUAACUAUCUCCAGCGAUGACUCCAGCAGUAAGCUGUACCUACAGAUGAACAGCCUGAAGAGUGAGAACACAGCAGUGUAUUGCUGUGCUAGAGAGUCACAGUGGUUAAACUAAUGGGAGAAGCCGUACAAAAAGCAUUUCCCCAUUCAACACAGACAACCUAAUUUUUUUAAAUGAAUGAUUUAAUAGCAAAAUGUUCACAAGCACCCCAUAUGUUUAAAAAAACAACUUGAUAAAUAUAGUAUACAGUAGGUGUAAUGGCUUUCUUCUGUUGAAGGAGGAGCGGACCGAAAUGCAGCGUGGUAUGUUUGAGACAUGUUUAAUGAAGAACGAAAAAACUCGAACAAUACAAAAACAACAAACGGCUCCAUAUGUGUGUAUCAAAAUACAUCCCUCUGAGUCCUGGAGAGUAGAGAAGAGCAUCUCCAACCGUUGUGCCUGUCCCCACAAACCAUGUCCCUGCAUCUCUGCUGCUGGCAGCUGUUGUCUGUGUACAGAGUUAUGAACUCACUCAGCCAGCCUCCAUGACUGUCCAGCCAGGUCAACCACUAACCGUCUCCUGUAAGGUCUCAUAUUCAGUAGUAGAUUGCAUACAGCUUAGAUUCGACAGCCUGCAGGGAAAAAACUGGAGUGGAUUGGAUAUAACUAAAGUGGUGGAAGCAUAGCUUAUAAUUAUGAACUGAAAAACAAGUUCUGCACCACCAGCAGCACUUCCAGCAACAUGCUGUUUUAAAAGGACAGAAUCUGCAUACUGAAGCUGUCUAUUAUUGUGCUCGCCUCCACAGUGAUACAA